rnacentral:rRNA from 1 species
CCUACGGGGGGCAGCAGUGGGGAAUAUUGCGCAAUGGGCGAAAGCCUGACGCAGCGACGCCGCGUGAGGGAUGAAGGUCUUCGGAUCGUAAACCUCUGUCAGCAGGGAAGAACGGUCACUGUGCUAAUCAGCAGUGAAUUGACGGUACCUGCAAAGGAAGCACCGGCUAACUCCGUGCCAGCAGCCGCGGUAAUACGGAGGGUGCGAGCGUUAAUCGGAAUUACUGGGCGUAAAGCGCUCGUAGGCGGUAUGUCAAGUCAAGGGUGAAAUCCCCGCGCUCAACGUGGGAACUGCCUUGGAAACUGGCAAACUGGAGUGUGUGAGAGGAUAGUGGAAUUCCAGGUGUAGGAGUGAAAUGCGUAGAUAUCUGGAGGAACAUCAGUGGCGAAGGCGACUAUCUGGCACAUAACUGACGCUGAGGAGCGAAAGCGUGGGUAGCAAACAGGAUUAGAUACCCUUGUAGUC